rnacentral:lncRNA from 1 species
CAAGGGACGGCUGCAGCCCUAGGCUGCUCUGUGGUCUGCGGGGCCGCGUCUUCAGCAGCGCAAACCGGCUCACUCGUCCCCUGGCCAGCCGCAUGGCCAGGGUUGACAUCCGACGCCGCGCUAAAAAAAAAAACUGCAAUAAAAAAAAUCACCGAAGUGCGUAAGUCGAACGCUUACAGGUCUGAGCGACGGUGGGUCGCGGUGAACCUCCUCCUCGUCCGGCCAGUCGGCACCUGUGCCCCUGACUCUGCAGCGCGAGGCGCAGGUGGGUCGCCGGCCACACGAUCAGCAGUGGUCGCCCCGCUGUCCGGACGGCUAGGAGGCCUCCGGACCAACGACGGUACGGCCUCCUCCUCCUCGUCGUCGUCGAUCCGAACGAACCGACGCCGCUUUGGCGCUCGGCUGCUCUCUGCCGGCAGUAUCGGCGCCGGCGACGGAUCUGCAGGCAUUGGCCUUUUCCCCGCCACUCUUUCCUCG